AGUGAACGCUGGCGGUAGGCCUAACACAUGCAAGUCGAACGGCAGCACAGUAAGAGCUUGCUCUUACGGGUGGCGAGUGGCGGACGGGUGAGGAAUACAUCGGAAUCUACUUUUUCGUGGGGGAUAACGUAGGGAAACUUACGCUAAUACCGCAUACGACCUACGGGUGAAAGCAGGGGAUCUUCGGACCUUGCGCGAUUGAAUGAGCCGAUGUCGGAUUAGCUAGUUGGCGGGGUAAAGGCCCACCAAGGCGACGAUCCGUAGCUGGUCUGAGAGGAUGAUCAGCCACACUGGAACUGAGACACGGUCCAGACUCCUACGGGAGGCAGCAGUGGGGAAUAUUGGACAAUGGGCGCAAGCCUGAUCCAGCCAUACCGCGUGGGUGAGGAAGGCCUUCGGGUUGUAAAGCCCUUUUGUUGGGAAAGAAAAGCAGCAGGUUAAUACCCCGCUGUUCUGUCGGUACCCAAAGAAUAAGCACCGGCUAACUUCGUG
rnacentral:rRNA from 1 species